UACGAAGGGGGCUAGCGUUGCUCGGAAUUACUGGGCGUAAAGCGCACGUAGGCGGCUUUCUAAGUCGGGGGUGAAAUCCUGGAGCUCAACUCCAGAACUGCCUUCGAUACUGGAGAGCUCGAGUCCGGGAGAGGUGAGUGGAACUGCGAGUGUAGAGGUGAAAUUCGUAGAAUAUUCGCAAGAACACCAGUGGCGAAGGCAGGCUCAGC
rnacentral:rRNA from 1 species